CUUCUCCUUUCUUGACGCAUCAAUAGUCCCCUAGACCGGUCAUUGUCGCACCUUCUCUAGAGAUAUACGAAGCCUUCCGAGCUCACUCACUGAUAUACAAAGCCCAAGUCUGACUCCCUCUUGCUCACUCUCAGUUCAGCCCCUCCCGUUGCCUCCACUCUCGUUCACUCUCAGCUCAGUCUGUCAUUCACUGCCGCUGGCUCGCGUUCACUCACAGUGUUCAUCGCUCAGGCUCUCGCUGAUGAAGAUCGUUCUUCCUACUUCUUGACACACAGAGUUCGUUCAUUGUUCAUUGAUGUGUAUGAAGGUGCAGCCAAUGAGGGUGGUAGAGGACCGAGUAUUUGGGAUACCUUCACUCACAAAUAUCCAGGUAGAAGACAGAAGCAAUGAGGAUGUUGCAGUUGACUCGUAUCACAGCUACAAGGACAAUGUUCAGAUUAUGAAGGAUAUGAAUAAUGUUUAUAGAUUUUACAUGGUCAAGAAUUCUUCCGAGUAAUUCAAAUAUAGAUCUAUGAUUAUUUUGGAGUAAGCUUUACUUGUUUGGGUGUUUCAUUACAAUCAUUACUUAUUUAUCUACUAUAAACUGCAUAUAUAUUCACAUAUGGAAAGCUAAGUGGAGGUAUAAACCAUGAAGGAAUUGACUCUUACAACAACCUUAUCAUUGAGGUAUUGGCAAAUGGUUUUGAAGCAUUUGUAACUCUAUUUCAUUGGGAUCUUCCUCAAUCUUUAGAAGAUGAAUAUGGGCGUUUCUUAAGUCCUCGCAUUGUGUAAGUUUUGCAAUUUAAUUAACAUUUUCACUUGAAUGCUUUGCUAAAAUGUUUUGGGAACAUUCCUAAAAAAUCACACACUUUAAUAUAGGAACAAAACCCUAUUUCACAACACAUCACCAACUUGUUGCUCAUUCAGUUGUGGUUAAUGUGUACAAGACUAAGUAUCAGGAGUAACAAGUAUGAUAUAUCUCCAGAGCUUGCUCUGUCAUGGAGAAAGGUGCAAGCAGGAAACAGAGAGAAGGAAAGGAAAAGUGCAAGAGAUUCCAUCAAGCUUGAAGAAGGUCGUCCAUCCAAUAAUUUUUUGUGUAGCAUUAGUAGAGCUAGCAGCAAUUAUUUCACAGUUUCUU